rnacentral:rRNA from 1 species
GACGAACGCUGGCGGCGUGCUUAACACAUGCAAGUCGAACGGAAAGGCCCUGCUUGUGGGGGAUUCGCGAGGGGCGAACGGGUGUGUAACACGGGAGUAACCUGCUCUUGACUUUGGGAUAACUUCAGGAAACGGGGGCUAAUACCGGAUAGGAGCUCCUUCGUCAGGGUGGGGGUAGGAAAGUUUCGGCGGGUGGGGAUGGACGCGCGGCUUAUCAGCUUGUUGGUGGGGUAGUGGCUUACGAAGGCUUUGGCGGGUGGCCGGCCUGGGUGGGUGACCGGCACCAUUGGGCCUGAGAUACGGCCCGGCCUCCUACGGGAGGCAGCAGUGGGGAUAAUUCACCAAUGGGCGGAAGCCUGAUGAGGGACCGCGGGGUGCGGGAUGACGGCCUUCGGGUUGUAACCCGUUUUCGCCUGUGACGAAGCGUGAGUGACGGUAAUGGGUUAAGAAGCACCGGCUAACUACGUG